GGCAAUUGCAACUUGUGUGCAAAUCACAACAAUUUGCUGCUUAAAUAAUGCUACUGAUAUAAAGUGCACAAAUUUAUUUACAGAUUGCCUAACUUCAGCUUAGGUAAAGAUUUCAUAAUUCAAUGGGCCAUCAUAUAGAUUUUCGGGCAACUACCGUCUACCCAGUAAAUGUUGGGCAAGUUUUGGUUGAUAAUAGCACACUAUGCAACAAAUGAUAUCCUGGUAUCCUUGACUCAUGACUUGUACCUUGCGAGUUGACCUAUGGGAGCAAACAACACGUAUGACUAUGGUUUAUAUUUCACAUAAGUUGAGAGGCCUUACAGAAGUAGUAGCUACGAGCACAACCGUACUGUCUUAACCUCUCAAAGUUUUACAGCAAAAGACUAUCUAUUUCUGUACCGACUGAGAAACUGUUGAUUCCAAGUCAACAAUCUUGAAGAAAUUGUUGACCUUCCAGCCAGAUCGCUGAAUGGAGGAGGAAGAGGCGUCCUCGUAGGCGCCCUUGCAGCCAGAUCACUGAAAAUGGACCAUAUAAGAUUGAGAAAAGAGAGAGUAAACUUCGAGACCAAUAAAUCAACCUUCAGUGCUACAGGCUACAGCAUUUCUCUGAACAUUGCUGGCUCAUGCUGGCUGACGAUCGCAGCGUACUGGCUCGGGAUCUUCUCCAGCGCCUCGAGCGCGAACCGCUCCUCCUUCUCGGCGCGGGACAUCUCCGCCGACAUGAUCUUGGUGAAAUCUACAAACUGCAGCCUCCUCCAUGCCGGGGCUGACGAGCCGCAUCGAUCAACGCACCUCCGCGCCGCUGGUGUACGUCCUGCCUCGCUGACCUUGAUCCCGCCCCGCCCGCCGCCGCAGCGCGCCACCUCGAGCACGGAGCACCUCCAUCGCGGAUCUGGAAUCAUCGCCGUGGAACCAAGGGGCAGCUGAACACGAGGCUCCUCUUCCGGCUCUCUAGAAGCACCUGGUCGAUAUGGGGAAGGAUAGGGAGAGGGGCGGGGUAGGACGGAGUGCGGAGCAGCGGGGCGAGGUCGCCGGUGGGAGGGGAAGGGGAGAGGCGAGGUCGUCGGUGCGAGGGACAGUGUUUCUCGCUCGCGUGGUCGGACCAGCCGACACGUCAGGCACGCGAUUAAGAUCCAACGGUUCAGAAGGGUGUGUGCUCGGGAGCUCUAAAAAGUGCAGCUGCACUUUUUAGAAUUUAGGUUAGUUUACAGAGGGAGUAGUUUUGUUAGCCCAUGAAGGCAAAUUUCGGCUUUCCCCGCCGUGAUGACUUCUGGCAUCAGUUUAACCAAUGUUUUUGCCAUCGUUAUAAGUCGUUUUAUAGUUUAAUUUAAACUAUCAAAACGACUUAUAUUUAGGAACAGAGGGAGUACUUGGAUUUGAACCAUUAAAAUGCAACCCCUCAAAAAAAUGAAUGCAAC
rnacentral:lncRNA from 1 species